rnacentral:rRNA from 1 species
UGUUGACCUCGGAUCAGGUAGGAAUACCCGCUGAACUUAAGCAUAUCAAUAAGCGGAGGAAAAGAAACCAACAGGGAUUGCCCUAGUAACGGCGAGUGAAGCGGCAACAGCUCAAAUUUGAAAUCUGGCCCUCGUGGUCCGAGUUGUAAUUUGUAGAGGAUGCUUUUGGUGAGGUGCCUUCCGAGUUCCCUGGAACGGGACGCCAUAGAGGGUGAGAGCCCCGUCUGGUUGGACACCGAGCCUCUGUAAAGCUCCUUCGACGAGUCGAGUAGUUUGGGAAUGCUGCUCAAAAUGGGAGGUAUAUGUCUUCUAAAGCUAAAUAUUGGCCAGAGACCGAUAGCGCACAAGUAGAGUGAUCGAAAGAUGAAAAGCACUUUGAAAAGAGGGUUAAAUAGUACGUGAAAUUGUUGAAAGGGAAGCGUUUGUGACCAGACUUGGGCUCGGUUAAUCAUCCAGCGUUCUCGCUGGUGCACUUUGCCAGCCCAGGCCAGCAUCAGUUUGCUGCGGGGGAUAAAAGUUUCGGGAAUGUGGCUCCUCGGAGUGUUAUAGCCCGUUGCACAAUACCCUGUGGUGGACUGAGGUUCGCGCAUCUGCAAGGAUGCUGGCGUAAUGGUCAUCAACGACCCGUCUUGAAACACGGACCAAGGAGUCGUCUUCGUAUGCGAGUGUUCGGGUGUCAAACCCCUACGCGUAAUGAAAGUGAACGGAGGUGAGAGCUACGGCGCAUCAUCGACCGAUCCUGAAGUUUUCGGAUGGAUUUGAGUAAGAGCAUACGGGGCCGGACCCGAAAGAAGGUGAACUAUGCCUGUAUAGGGUGAAGCCAGAGGAAACUCUGGUGGAGGCUCGCAGCGGUUCUGACGUGCAAAUCGAUCGUCAAAUAUGGGCAUGGGGGCGAAAGACUAAUCGAAC